GACGGGGGGUCCUAGCGUUGUUCGGAAUCAUUGGGCGUAAAGCGUGUGCAGGUGGUUUUGUAAGUUAGAUGUGAAAGCCUUGGGCUUAACCCAAGAAGUGCAUUUAAAACUACAAAACUUGAGUAUGGAAGAGGGUUGUGGAAUUCCAGGUGUAGUGGUGAAAUACGUAGAUAUCUGGAGGAACACCGGUGGCGAAGGCGGCAACCUGGUCCUAUACUGACACUCAUACACGAAAGCGUGGGGAUCAAACAGG
rnacentral:rRNA from 1 species